UACGUAGGGUGCGAGCGUUAAUCGGAAUUACUGGGCGUAAAGUGUGCGCAGGCGGCUUCGCAAGUCGAGUGUGAAAUCCCCCGAGCUUAACUUGGGAAUUGCGCUCGAAACUACGGAGCUGGAGUGUGGCAGAGGAAGGUGGAAUUCCACGUGUAGCGGUGAAAUGCGUAGAGAUGAUGGAGGAACACCGAUGGCGAAGGCAGCCUUCUGGGCCAACACUGACGCUCAUGCACGAAAGCGUGGGGAGCAAACAGG
rnacentral:rRNA from 1 species